rnacentral:rRNA from 1 species
GAUGAACGCUGGCGGCAGGCCUAACACAUGCAAGUCGAACGGAUGUAGCAAUACAUUAGUGGCGCACGGGAGAGUAACACGUGGGAAUCUACCUUUUGGUUCGGAAUAACGUCGGGAAACUGACGCUAAUACCGGAUAAGCCCUACGGGGGAAAGUUUUUCGCCAAAAGAUGAGCCCGCGCUAGAUUAGCUUGUUGGUGAGGUAAUGGCUCACCAAGGCUACGAUCUAUAGCUGGUCUGAGAGGAUGACCAGCCUCACUGGGACUGAGACACGGCCCAGACUCCUACGGGAGGCAGCAGUGGGGAAUAUUGGACAAUGGGGGAAACCCUGAUCCAGCCAUGCCGCGUGAAUGAUGAAGGCCUUCGGUUUGUAAAGUUCUUUUGGUAGGGACGAUGAUGACGGUACCUACAGAAUAAGCUCCGGCUAACUUCGUGCCAGCCGCCGCGGUAA